UUCUAAUAGAUUUCAUUAUUAGUAAAAUCUGCUCAAUGAGUAUUUCAAUAGCCGCAUUUGUGCUAAGGUAGCAUAAUCACUUGUCUUUUAAUUUUAGACUAGAAUGAAAGAUUUAACAUUUAAAUUUAUUUAUUUUAUACAAUACCUUAAAAUUAUUUUAAAUAUUAAAAAAUAUUUAUUUUUUAGAAAGACGACAAGACCCUUUCGAACUUUACUAUAGUUUAACUGGGGCAGUAAAAAAAAAUAUAAAUUUUCUCUCAAUAAAUCUAAAAAUACCCAAAAAAUUUGAAUAAUCAAGUUACCGAAGGGAUAACAGCGUAAUUAAUUUUUUAAGAUCUUAUAUAAAAAUUAGAUUGCGACCUCGAUGUUGAAUAUACAUCUAUUUAACGAAAACAUUAAAAAAGAAAGUCUGUUCGACUUUUAAAUAUAUACA
rnacentral:rRNA from 1 species